GUGGGGAAUUUUGGACAAUGGGCGAAAGCCUGAUCCAGCCAUGCCGCGUGCAGGAUGAAGGCCUUCGGGUUGUAAACUGCUUUUGUACGGAACGAAAAGACUCUGGUUAAUACCUGGGGUCCAUGACGGUACCGUAAGAAUAAGCACCGGCUAACUACGUGCCAGCAGCCGCGGUAAUACGUAGGGUGCAAGCGUUAAUCGGAAUUACUGGGCGUAAAGCGUGCGCAGGCGGUUAUAUAAGACAGAUGUGAAAUCCCCGGGCUCAACCUGGGAACUGCAGUUGUGACUGUAUAGCUAGAGUACAGCAGAGGGGGAUGGAAUUCCGCGUGUAGCAGUGAAAUGCGUAGAUAUGCGGAGGAACACCGAUGGCGAAGGCAAUCCCCUGGGCCUGCACUGACGCUCAUGCACGAAAGCGUGGGGAGCAAACAGGAUUAGAAACCCUGGUAGUCC
rnacentral:rRNA from 1 species